rnacentral:rRNA from 1 species
AUUCCAGCUCCAAUAGCGUAUAUUAAAGUUGUUGCAGUUAAAAAGCUCGUAGUUGAAGUUCUGAUUGUUCGGGUUUCUAGACAUUAGUCGGAGAUACUGACAGUCAUCCGCUUGCAAACAUAUGUUCGAUCUUUACCGGUUGGCUAUGUGAGUAAGCAUUUUACCUUGAGAAAAACAGAGUGUUCCAGGCAGGUUUGUCCGGAAUGCAUUAGCAUGGAAUAAUAGAAUAUGACUGAAGUCUAUUUAUUGGUUACAGGCUUUAGUAAUGAUUAAUAGGAACAGUCGGGGGCAUUCGUACUCAGCAGUCAGAGGUGAAAUUCUAAGAUUUGCUGAAGACGAACUAAUGCGAAAGCAUUUGCCAAGGAUGUUUUCAUUAAUCAAGAACGAAAGUUAGGGGAUCAAAGACGAUCAGAUACCGUCCUAGUCUUAACUAUAAACCAUACCGACUCGGAUUCAGAUGAAUCAAAAUGUUCAUUUGGGACCGUAGGAGAAAUCAAAGUCUUUGGGUUCUGGGGGGAGUAUGGUCGCAAGGCUGAAACUUAAAGGAAUUGACGGUUUUGCACCACCAUGGAGUGGAGUUUGCGGCUUAAUUUGACCCAACACUGGGAAACUCAUCAGGGCAAGAAGAUUUUAGGAUUGACAGAUUGAGAGUUCUUUCUUGAUUGGUCUAGUGGUGGUGCAUGGCCGUUCUUAGUUGGUGGAGUGAUUUGUCUGGUUAAUUCCGUUAACGAACGAGACCUUAACCUGCUAACUAGUGUCUCCAUCUCAAAUGGAGAGCACUUCUUAGAGGGACUAUGUGAUGUAAUCACAUGGAAGUUUGAGGCAAUAACAGGUCUGUGAUGCCCUUAGAUGUCCUGAGCUGCACGCGUACUACAAUGGCACUUUCAACGAGUUUUUCCUGAUCCGAAAGGAUUUGGGUAAUCUUUUUAGUGAGUGCCGUGAUUGGGAUAGAUCUUUGUAAUUGUGGAUCUUGAACUAGGAAUUCCUAGUAAGCGCGAUUCAUCAAAUCGUGCUGAUUACGUCCCUGCAAAAUGUACACACCGCCCGUCGCUUUUACCGAUUGAGUGUUCAGGUGAGUCUUCUAGAUCGGAAGAGCGUCGUGUAGGGAAAGAGUGUAGAUCUCGGUGGUCGC